GGCCCAGUAGCUCAAUGGACAGAGCAACUCGCUUCUAACGAGUAGGUUGGUAGUUCGACUCUACCCUGGGUCA
rnacentral:tRNA from 1 species